rnacentral:rRNA from 1 species
GAUGAACGCUGGCGGCGUGCCUAAUACAUGCGAGUCGAGCGAACGGACGAGAAGCUUGCUUCUCUGAUGUUAGCGGCGGACGGGUGAGUAACACGUGGAUAACCUACCUAUAAGACUGGGAUAACUUCGGGAAACCGGAGCUAAUACCGGAUAAUAUUUUGAACCGCAUGGUUCAAAAGUGAAAGACGGUCUUGCUGUCACUUAUAGAUGGAUCCGCGCUGCAUUAGCUAGUUGGUAAGGUAACGGCUUACCAAGGCAACGAUGCAUAGCCGACCUGAGAGGGUGAUCGGCCACACUGGAACUGAGACACGGUCCAGACUCCUACGGGAGGCAGCAGUAGGGAAUCUUCCGCAAUGGGCGAAAGCCUGACGGAGCAACGCCGCGUGAGUGAUGAAGGUCUUCGGAUCGUAAAACUCUGUUAUUAGGGAAGAACAUAUGUGUAAGCAACUGUGCACAUCUUGACGGUACCUAAUCAGAAAGCCACGGCUAACUACGUG